GACGAACGCUGGCGGCGUGCUUAACACAUGCAAGUCGAACGGAAAGGCCCUGCUUUUGUGGGGUGCUCGAGUGGCGAACGGGUGAGUAACACGUGAGUAACCUGCCCUUGACUUUGGGAUAACUUCAGGAAACUGGGGCUAUUACCGGAUAGGAGCUCCUGCUGCAUGUUGGGGGUUGGAAAGUUUCGGCGUUUGGGUAUGGACUCGCGGCUUAUCAGCUUGUUGGUGGGGUAGUGGAUUACCAAGGCUUUGACGGGUAGCCGGCCUGAGAGGGUGACCGGCCACAGUGGGAUUGAGAUGCGGCCCAGACGCCAACGGGAGGCAGGAGUGGGGAAUAGAGCACAAAGGGCGGAAGCAGGAUGCAGGAACGCCGCGUGCGGGAUGACGGCCUUCGGGUUGUAAACAGCUUGCGCGUGUGACGAAGCGUGAGGAAGGGUAAUGGGUAAAGAAGCACCGGCUAAUUACGU
rnacentral:rRNA from 1 species